GCUGGGAUAGCUCAGCUGGAACACCAUGAAACUCUUAAUCUCAGGGUUGUGGGUUCGAGCCCCAUGUUGGGCA
rnacentral:tRNA from 1 species